rnacentral:sRNA from 1 species
GCUGGGUGUGGUGGCGUGCAUCUGUAGUCCCAGCUCCUUGGGAGGCAGAGGUGGGAGGAUCACUUGAGCCCAGGAAUUCAAGGCUGCAGUGAGCUAUGAUCAUACCAGUGCCCUCCAGCCUGGGCAACAGAGUGAGACCCUGUCUCAA